AGUGAACGCUGGCGGCGUGCCUAAUACAUGCAAGUCGAGCGGAAAGAUAAUAAGAUUGCUCCUCUAACGUUGGCGACUGACGGGUGGGUGAGACGUGGAUCACCAACUUCUAUGUCUGGGAUAACUUCGGAAAGACGCAGCUGCUACCAGCUCAUAUGUUGAACCGCUUGAUUCAAUAGUGAAAGACAGUUUUCCUGUCACAUAUAGCUGAAUCCGCGCCGGAUUAGCUAGUUGGUAAGGUAACGGCUCACCAAGGCAACGAUGCGUAGCUGAUCUGAGAGGAUGAUCGGCCACACUGGAACUGAGACACGGUCCAGACUCCUACGGGAGGCAGCAGUGGGGAAUCUUGGACAAUGGGCGAAAGCCUGACGCAGCAAUGCCGCGUGAGUGAAGAAGGUCUUCGGAUUGUAAAGCUCUGUUAUUGGGAAAGAACAACAGCGUGAGUAACUAUGGAUGUCCUGACGGUACCUAAACAGAAAGCCACGGCUAACUUCGUG
rnacentral:rRNA from 1 species